AAUAUUGGACACUGGGGGCAAACCUGAUCCAGCCAUGCCGCGUGUGUGAAGACGGUCAUCGGAUAGUAAAGCACUUUAAGUUGGGAGGAAGGGCAGUAAGUUAAUACCUUGCUGUUUUGACGUUACCGACAGAACAAGCGCCGGCUAACUUCGUGCCAGCAGCCGCGGUAAUACGAAGGGUGCAAGCGUUAAUCGGAAUUACGGGGCGUAAAUCGCGCGUAGGUUGUUUGUUAAGUUGGAAGUGAAGGCCCGGGGCUCAACCUGGGAACUGCUUUCAAAACUGGCAAGCUAGAGUAUGGCAGAGUGUGGUAGAAUUUCCUGUGUAGCGGUUAAAUGAGUAGAUAUAGGAAGGAACACCAGUGGCGAAGGCGACUACCUGGACUGAUACUGACACUGAGGUGCGAAAGCGUGGGGAGCAAAC
rnacentral:rRNA from 1 species